UGGGUUCCCUGAAUUUUUCUUUGGAGAUUAAAACACGCUUCAAGUACCUAAAAAUACCCUAAAAACUCAAAAUUCGGUGUUAAAAACUUUUUCAGAACAAUUUUAGAACUCUAACACGGCGGCACCGUCGUGCUCUGGUGACGGCACCGCCGCCCGCGGUAGGGCCACCGCUGUGCUCCGGUGACGGUACCGUCACCUGCGAAGGCAGUUUGCAUUGGACUACUCG
rnacentral:lncRNA from 1 species